UUACGGCCACAUCAAGGUAAAACACCGGUUCCGUACGAUCUCCAAAGGUAAGGAAGAUCGAGUCUGGUCAGUACCUAGAUGGGUAACGGCUUGGGAAUAUCAGUUGCCGUAAG